GCGGUAGGCUUAACACAUGCAAGUCGUGCGAGAAAGUAUCUUCGGAUAUGAGUAUAGCGGCGGACGGGUGAGUAACGCGUAGGAAUCUACCUAGUAGAAGGGGAUAGCCCGAGGAAACUCGGAUUAAUACCGUAUACCUCCUUAGGGAGAAAGAGGGCCUCUCUUGAUGCUCUCGCUAUUAGAUGAGCCUGCGUAAGAUUAGCUUGUUGGUGAGGUAAUGGCUCACCAAGGCUACGAUCUUUAGCUGGUCUGAGAGGACGAUCAGCCACAUUGGGACUGAGACACGGCCCAGACUCCUACGGGAGGCAGCAGUGGGGAAUAUUGGACAAUGGGCGCAAGCCUGAUCCAGCCAUACCGCGUGUGUGAAGAAGGCCCUAGGGUUGUAAAGCACUUUAAGCAGGGAGAAAAAGUUAUAAGUUAAUACCUUAUAGCCCUGAUGUUACCUGCAGAAUAAGCACCGGCUAAUUCCGUGCCAGCAGCCGCGGUAAUACGGAAGGUGCAAGCGUUAAUCGGAAUUACUGGGCGUAAAGCGCGCGUAGGUGGUUUGUUAAGUUGGAUGUGAAAGCCCUGGGCUCAACCUAGGAACUGCAUCCAAAACUAACUCACUUGAGUACGAUAGAGGGAGGUAGAAUUCAUAGUGUAGCGGUGGAAUGCGUAGAUAUUAUGAAGAAUACCAGUGGCGAAGGCGGCCUCCUGGAUCUGUACUGACACUGAGGUGCGAAAGCGUGGGUAGCGAACAGGAUUAGAUACCCUGGUAGUCCACGCCGUAAACGAUGACAACUAGCUGUUGGGAGACAAAGUCUUUCAGUGGCGCAGCUAACGUUUUAAGUUGUCCGCCUGGGGAG
rnacentral:rRNA from 1 species